rnacentral:rRNA from 1 species
UAGGGAAUCUUCGGCAAUGGGGGGAACCCUGACCGAGCAACGCCGCGUGAGUGAAGAAGGUUUUCGGAUCGUAAAGCUCUGUUGUUAAGGAAGAACGAGUGUGAAAAUGGAAAGUUCAUACUGUGACGGUACUUAACCAGAAAGGGACGGCUAACUACGUGCCAGCAGCCGCGGUAAUACGUAGGUCCCGAGCGUUGUCCGGAUUUAUUGGGCGUAAAGCGAGCGCAGGCGGUUCCUUAAGUCUGAUGUGAAAGCCCCCGGCUCAACCAGGGAGGGUCAUUGGAAACUGGGGAACUUGAGUGCAGAAGAGGAGAGUGGAAUUCCAUGUGUAGCGGUGAAAUGCGUAGAUAUAUGGAGGAACACCAGUGGCGAAGGCGACUCUCUGGUCUGUAACUGACGCUGAGGCUCGAAAGCGUGAGUAGCAAACAGGAUUAGAUACCCUGGUAGUCCACGCCGUAAACGAUGAGUGCUAAGUGUUAGGUCCUUUCCGGGGCUCAGUGCCGCAGCUAACGCAUUAAGCACUCCGCCUGGGGAGUACGACCGCAAGGUUG